AACUCUGCAGAUGAGUACUUGACCAUCUUUCACCCAGUGUCCAGCAAUGCAAGAGUGCUGUUCCCUUCCCAUCUGAAGAGGUUUGAAGUGAAAAUGUUUUCCUUCACAAGCGGCCAGGAUGCACUGAAAGGACAGAUUUACUUCCACUGCGGUGUUGUGAUAUGUGAUUCAACCCGGCCAUCAGACAGCCUCUGUAGCAGACGGUGCAUUCCAGGGAAACAGAGGCUUGGUCGCAGUGCUGAAGGGAUGGAUGGUGGUGCAGUAAAGGUGUUUGUGUCUUCUGGCCCAAUUGAGCUGAAGAGAGAUGGAUCCCUUCACUUUAUGCCUAGAAGUGGUAAUAUGCAUGAUGUGAACACAAUUGCAGUUCAAGUAAAAUAUAACUCCUUUAUUCCUCUAAUUAUUUCUU